rnacentral:tRNA from 1 species
UCUAAUAUGGCAGAUUAGUGCAAUGAAUUUAAGAUUCAUAAAUAAAGUAUUUAAACUUUUAUUAGAA